AUGGACCUUGGACUUGAAAAUAAUAACAUGGACUAAAUUAAUUGUAAAGUCCAUAUUAAUUAUUCGACCCAAAUAAAUAUGGAUUAAAUAUAAAUUUUGUAUGACUUUAACCCAAUAAAAUUUAUGUGUCUACAAAUGUCCCCUAUUUCAAGGCUUGUCGAGGUGAAGACUUAUCUAACCUCAAAGACGAGACUUCAAGUAAUGGUAAGAAAUACCUUUCAGUCCUUUUUUUUUUUUUUCCUUACGUACUUGGUUACAUUAUAAUUGUAGCCACUUGAAAAGCAUGUAAUCAAGGCACAAGGUAUAAUAUAUUUCUCUCACGUUUAGCUACUGCCAAUUGAGAAUAGCAUUCAAUUUACUUCCAUCCAAGUAACAUAAAUCAUGAGAAUUAGUUCUAGCAAUCACUUUCCGUCAAUUGAGGAGUAAUAGCAAUUUGACUCCUUUUGGGAAAGGUUUAUUCUCCAUAGGUUCAUUGGAAACUUUAAGCAUUUUCUGGACUUUAGAAUCACAAAAGUUUUGGAUUCUUUCUUUUUCUAUCCUGAUUGAACUUCAAACUUGAUGACUCUUCCAAUUUCCUUGUUCUAUUAGAAGUCAGCUACUGCUGACAGAACACCUAUAAGUAGAGCUCAAAUGCACUCUUAAUCCUAGCAAAUGGGUCAGUUCUACAGAGACGCCGGAAUCCUUAUGGUCGAUAGGCCAUUCUCAAACUGUUAAGCGCUUCCAGCCAGAUAAUGAAGAACCAAGAACCCCUUUGAUUUCAAGACAAUACCCACAAAGGACUCCAAGCUUCAUUUGGGGGGCGAACCAGAAGAAACAAUUCAAGAGCUGCGUAUUGAUUUCCUUGAAGCUGCUACUCAACUUGUAUUGCUGGAGACUUGUUUGUACAUCAUCCGAUCGACUUGGAGAAGAGCUCAAAACUUCGCACUGUUGGCACCGCCAUGUCAAACAAGACUGUUGUGCUGCUGCUCAUGUCUGCUGCGCCACAUUGAAGCGUCAUGUACUUACUACGUGCUAUUGACAAAGAUCAACCAAGCAGAACGAAAAGCUUCGUGCAAUUAUGAUAGCUCCAUGGUCAAGAAUGGCGCUAUAGAAGCCCUAAGAAGAUCGUCGUCAAGGUCACAAGCUAAGGAGAUGCAAGCCAAGGUUGUUGGGCUUCAAUUGCAAAUCAAAAGAAUGCUUAUCAUGAAAGAAAAGCCCAAGAACGAGUCCAAUAAUUAUGCAAAAGAAUGGGCUAAAUACUAUACAUAUUUCAUGAUCCAAGUCCAAGCUCAAGAGGAGGAAGAUUGGGCCUCACAUGGGGCUGAAGUUUCUACCCAAGAAAGGAAUUAAAUCCAACCCAAAUUGGGUUGGAGAAAGUCACACGUACAAAAGUGACUUUUUGGGCAACCUUAUCCUUAUUCUAUUAGGAAGAAGUUUGCCAAUUAUUUUACAUGCUUUCCUAGUUUAAUCCUAGUUAGGUUUUAGUAUUUAAUUAUUUCCAUAAAAGUAGAUUCUAAUCCCAUUUUAUUUGGGAUAAGUUUCCCCUAUAUAUAGGGGUGGAUUUUGUUAUUUUCAAGACACAAAAAUAUUAUUAUUAUUGAGAGUUUCUCUAUUU